ACAAGCCAGUCUGUGUAAAGGUUAACCACCAGCACGGUACGGAACCAUGCGUAUGAGGCGGUAACAAAUCAUGCGAAGCCAUGGGAAAGGAGUUCGUCAGCCACAACGCAAUUGAAGGUAUUGAGCCCAGAAAUUACUCUUGUUGCAGUCGGGUCAAAGGUUUUAUGUCCUGGAAACCAGAAUCCGAAUAGUCGCCAAGGUGAGACUAUUCGGGCGCGCCGGGGUCCAGGUCCG
rfam:Desulfobacteraceae bacterium 4572_35.1 ex4572_35.1_scaffold_8296, whole genome shotgun sequence.